rnacentral:rRNA from 1 species
AAUACGGGACCAUGGGGGCAACCCUGAUUCAGCCAUACCGCGUGUGUGAAACAGGNCCNNGGAGCNUNGAGAUCGGUAAGUCGNNNNNCCGGGCUUCCGGAUACUACUGUGAAGUUUGGACGUCACCAAGAGCAUAAGCACCGCAUAACUCUGUGCCAGUAGCCGCGGUAAUACAGAGGGUGCACGCGUUAAUCGGAGUUACUGGUCGUAAAGCGCGCUUAGGUGGUUCAGUAAGAUGGGUGUGUACUCCCCGGGCUUAACCUGGGACAUGCUUUCCUGACUGCUGAGCUAGAGUACGGUAGAGAGUAAUGGAAUUUCCUGUGUAGCGGUGAAAUGCGUAGAUAUAGGAAGGAACACCAGUGGCGAAGGCGACUACCUGGACUGAUACUGACACUGAGGUGCGAAAGCGUGGGGAGCAAACA